UUCCCCUAGUAACUGCGAGUGAAGCGGGAAAAGCUCAAAUUUAAAAUCUGGCAGUAUUUGGCUGUCCGAGUUGUAAUCUAGAGAAGUAUUAUCCGCGCUGGACCGUGUACAAGUCUCCUGGAAUGGAGCGUCAUAGAGGGUGAGAAUCCCGUCUUUGACACGGACUGCCAGGGCUUUGUGAUGUGCUCUCAAAGAGUCGAGUUGUUUGGGAAUGCAGCUCAAAAUGGGUGGUAAAUUCCAUCUAAAGCUAAAUAUUGGCGAGAGACCGAUAGCGAACAAGUACCGUGAGGGAAAGAUGAAAAGAACUUUGGAAAGAGAGUUAAACAGUACGUGAAAUUGCUGAAAGGGAAACGCUUGAAGUCAGUCGCGUUGGCCAGGGAUCAACCUUGCUUUUUUGCUUGGCUUACUUUCUGGUUGAUGGGUCAGCAUCAAUUUUGACUGGUGGAAAAAGUUCAAGGGAAUGUGGCAUCUUCUGAUGUGUUAUAGCCUUUGUUCGCAUACAUCGGUUGGGAUUGAGGAACUCAGCACGCCGCAAGGCCGGGUUUUUAACCACGUACGUGCUUAGGAUGCUGGCAUAAUGGCUUUAAUCGACCCGUCUUGAAACACGGACCAAGGAGUCUAACAUGCCUGCGAGUGUUUGGGUGAAAAACUCGAGCGCGUAAUGAAAGUGAAAGUUGAGAUCCCUGUCAUGGGGAGCAUUGACGCCCGGAUCUGACCUUUUGUGACGAUUCUGCGGUAGAGCAUGUAUGUUGGGACCCGAAAGAUGGUGAACUAUGCCUGAAUAGGGUGAAGCCAGAGGAAACUCUGGUGGAGGCUCGUAGCGAUUCUGACGUGCAAAUCGAUCGUCAAAUUUGGGUAUAGGGGCGAAAGACU
rnacentral:rRNA from 1 species